rnacentral:tRNA from 1 species
GAAGAAUUAGUUAAUUUAUAACAUUAGAAUGUCAACCUAAAAUUAUCAAAAGAUAUUCUUCU